rnacentral:rRNA from 1 species
AAACUAACAAGGAUUCCCCUAGUAGCGGCGAGCGAAGCGGGAAGAGCUCAAAUUUGUAAUCUGGCGUCUCUGGCGUCCGAGUUGUAAUCUAUAGAAACAUUUUCCGUGCCGGACCGCGUCCAAGUCCCUUGGAACAGGGUAUCAAAGAGGGUGACAAUCCCGUGCUUGAUGCGACCACCGGUGCUAUGUGAUAUGUUUUCUACGAGUCGAGUUGUUUGGGAAUGCAGCUCCAAAUGGGUGGUAAAUUCCAUCUAAGGCUAAAUACAGGCGAGAGACCGAUAGCGAACAAGUACCGUGAGGGAAAGAUGAAAAGCACUUUGGAAAGAGAGUUAAACAGUACGUGAAAUUGUUGAAAGGGAAACGAUUGAAGUCAGUCGUGUCUUGAGGUUUCAGGCCUGCUCUGCAGGUGCAUUACCUCUUGACGGGUCAACAUCAGUUCUGGCCGGCGGAUAAAGGUGGUUUGAAGGUGGCACCCUCGGGUGUGUUAUAGCUUUCCAUCUCAUACGCUGGCCGGGACUGAGGACUGCAGCUCGCCCUUGUGGCCGCCCCUCGGGGACGUUCGAGCUUAGGAUGUUGGCAUAAUGGCUUUAAACGA